UAAGGAAUAUUGCUCAAUGGGAGAAAUCCUGAAGCAGCAACGCCGCGUGGAGGAUGAAGGGUUUUUAACUUGUAAACUCCUGUAAAGAAGGAAAAAAUUCCCAUUAGAUGGGAAAUGAUGGUACUUCUGGAGUAAGCCCCGGCUAACUACGUGCCAGCAGCCGCGGUAAUACGUAGGGGGCAAGCGUUGUCCGGAUUUACUGGGUGUAAAGGGUGCUCAGGCGGAUUUGUAAGUCAGAGGUGAAAUCUCACAGCUUAACUGUGAAACUGCCUUUGAUACUGCAAGCCUAGAGUAUGGAAGAGAGUGAUGGAAUAUCUGGUGUAGCAGUGAAAUGCGUAGAUAUCAGAUAGAACACCAAUGGCGAAGGCAGUCACUUGGUCCAUAACUGACGCUAAAGCACGAAAGCGUGGGUAGCAAACAGGAUUAGAUACCCUGGUAGUCCACGCCCUAAACGAUGAAUACUAGAUGUUGGCUUCGCAUGAAGUCAGUAUCUGAGCUAACGCAUUAAGUAUUCCACCUGGGAAGUACGAUCGCAAGGUUGAAACUCAAAUGAAUUGACGGGGUCAUAGCUGUUUCCUG
rnacentral:rRNA from 1 species